GGCAUAGUGUGAGUUGUGUGCGUCUCUAAAGAACUUGCUGAGUUUUCCCAUGUACCGUGAAUGCACCAUAGCGCUGUGCGUGGUGACUUUCUUUCACUGCAUCCGCCUGCACGGAGCUAGAUGCACAGAGCUGUGUGGAGAUUCAGUCCUGUAACGUCUUGCGCUACGGAAUUAAUGUUUUCUUUGAAGAAUAUCCUGAGGCAGUUUUGAAUUCAGGAGCGGCAAGAUGGCAGCGGCAAACCCUGGCGGUUCUCCGGAUUCGUUGCAACCACGGAUGGGAAAAUGUGGAGGUUGCAUGGCUGAUGUUUACUGUUCGUGGCACAGGAAGAGGCAGUUUCAUUUCAGGAAUGAGUGUGCACAAUCAGAGAAUAGAGCGACUGUGGAGAGACCUCUGGGUGGCCGUUGCAUGCAUUUACUACGAUGUUCUUCACAACCUUGAGGAAGAAGGCCUUCUUGACAUUUCAAAUGCUGCACACCUCUUUUGCUGCCAUUACAUCUUUCUUCCUCGACUGGAGGAUGAUUUUAAUACAUUUUGCAGUGGAUGGGACAACCAUCCACUGCGAACAGAAAAACAACACGAGUCCCAAC